AGAGAAAAAGUACUAAUUUUGUGUAUAUUGAGAGUGUUAUAUAAUCUUCCCAAUAGGAUUAUUGGGAAAUUCUUAUGUGAAUGCAGUUUACCAUAGAUCUAAAAUAUAAAAAGUUGGGAUUUAAUAGAUGGGUUCUAUCAUAUAUUUUGUAUAUUGAGUUCAUAAUGAAUAAGGUAUAAACAAUAAAUAUCUCAAAUAAUGAAUUAAGGUUGGACAAAAAAAAUCACAGGAUGAGAAUUUUUUUUGCAUAGACCCAAUUCAUUGUGUACCCAAGAUACAAGAUACAGACAUGUGUGACUCAUCUAUUUAAUAAGUGAGUUCCACCAUACAUUUUAUAUCUUUAAUUCAUUAUUAUACUCAUUAUUAUACUUACUAAUGAGAUGAAAUAUAACCAA
rnacentral:misc_RNA from 1 species